ensembl:misc_RNA
CAGGACAGGUACAGCACAGGCAGCGACAGUGCGAGCUUUCCCCACACCACCUCAUCCGUGUGCCUCAACCCUGCCCUGGAGGGACCACCUCUAGA